rfam:Dipodomys ordii contig_43374, whole genome shotgun sequence.
GGGAAGGUGGCUCAAUGGUAGAGUGCUUGCCUUGCAUGCAUGAGGCCCUGGGUUCAAUUCCUCAGUGCCA